AGUUUAAUUUACUCCAUUAUAUGAACUGUAUAUAUCUAGGCCUACUAAAUUACCAGUUUAAUUUACUCCAUUAUAUGAACUGUAUAUAUCUAGGCCUAUUUUAUUAACAUUUCAAAUCUACUCCAUUAUUUCACCUAUGUAGAUCUAAGUUUAAUUUAUUCCAUUAUAUCACCUGCAUAGUAACCAGACAACUAGGCUAUGUACAAUUAGACAGAUAUGUUGCAACUCAGCAAAUUCUACCUUUAAGUAUUUUGCAAAGCUUUAAAAGUUUUAACACCCCUCUAAAACUAUUAGGUGUCUAAAUGUCCUACUUCAUAAUUUUUUUAGGUGUGUAAUUGUCAGGAGUCUAGUUGUUUGGUUACCAGUAUAGCAGUAUUGUCUGGACCUAACACAGCAGAGUGUUGGUAGGCCAUUGUGGUUGAGAGCAAGAGUAGUUUGAUGCUUCUUGUCUAUCCCGAGCAAAAUCAACAGGGGUUCUCUUGACCACUGACUACACACUAUUGAAGUUUAAAGGUCAUAAUUUUUAGGAUGUACUUGUAAAUGUACUUUGAUAGUUGAGUAAAGUACAAGUACAGUACUUGAUGUACUUAAGUACACAAUUACUCGAGUACUUGACCCCAUGCCUGUCCAUGACCAGGUUUCUAACAUCAAUACUAGAGUCUGAUAACAAAAAGUUUUUGUUGUUUCUAGUUAUUAUUAUUAUUUCAAAAACCAUUGUUUAAUGGCAAUACCAUUGAUGAUGUUAUAACUGACAUGUGUAGUAGUGCUAGUGGUAUGAAUUCAUAGUAUAAAGCAUUAGUAAGAAUUUCAGGAUAGUUAGGUAGUGCGAUAUAUCACUCAUUCUGAACACACGUGGUUCAUUUUCUUAGAUAGUUCUUAAUACUUGUAGAGUAUAUUAUAUAACAAUUCAUUAAGUUGAAUGUAGUUUUCAAUAUAACCCAUUCGUGAUCAGAUAAACUCUAGCUGCUUAUCCAUAUUGUUGUGUAAAAGCUGUUAAGGAUGGUUCGUGCUGUCUUAUAACUUUUAUAAGAAAUAACAGAACUCAACAAACAAAUAAAAGAACUGCAUAAUGUUUGUGUUUUAGAUAUUCAAGAAGGCAUGCCAUUUCAAAAUUUCUUAGAAAAAACAAGUCAGUGGCACUUGAUAUUACACAUUUUCCCUGGGAGAGAGUAAAAAACUCCCAGCAUUAAAGUUUGUCAAAUUUUAGAAUAAUAAUUUUUAGUUCACAGGAAACUUGAAUUUUGAGAAUAUCUUUGUAUAUCAAAUUUGUAACUUAGUAUGCACUUCUCUUAAAUUUGCAUUUUGUAGAUUGUUUAAUUUUUAUACAGAUAGACAGGAUGUUGUCGUAGUUGUUAAUAGCUAUAGAUUCUUAUGUAUAUUUAGAAAAAUGUGACUUGUAUAUUGUUUCCAGUAGUCAUUCAUCAGGUUUCUUUUUGGUAAUUUUUAGAGGCUUUCAGAGCCAAAAAUUUUUCUCAAUGGAGUUUUUUUUUCAAAAAAUUUCAGUUUUAGGGGAAUUUUUAAGUCUUUGGAAAAAGUCUUCAAAGAAAUGUCAAAGACCCAGCUUUAAAACAGUGCAAAAAUUAGCCUUUUCAAGGGAUUUUUUACAAAUUAAAAGAAAUAAUUUGC